rnacentral:rRNA from 1 species
ACGGUCCAGACUCCUACGGGAGGCAGCAGUGGGGAAUAUUGCACAAUGGGCGCAAGCCUGAUGCAGCCAUGCCGCGUGUAUGAAGAAGGCCUUCGGGUUGUAAAGUACUUUCAGCGAGGAGGAAGGCAUUAAGGUUAAUAACCUUAGUGAUUGACGUUACUCGCAGAAGAAGCACCGGCUAACUCCGUGCCAGCAGCCGCGGUAAUACGGAGGGUGCAAGCGUUAAUCGGAAUUACUGGGCGUAAAGCGCACGCAGGCGGUCUGUUAAGUCAGAU